UAGCUCAAGAUAAAAAAGCAGUGAGAUUCUCCACUGAAGACUAAAGAAUCCCUACAAUGGAAUUUGCUUGCUGUCUCUGCAAUCCUCUAUUUCCAUCCCUGGAAAGAUAGAGCAUUAACAUGAACUCAAUGACCAGAAGUCAAGUUAAUGAAGGCAACAUCUGGAAGUUGUUUCUGGAGUGCAGAAUCUUAAAAAAAGGAAAUUGAUGUCCAUGGUGGUGCCAUAGCUUGUACAAGACAACACAGGCAAGCCUGGAACAUUUUGCAAGCUACUGUCUGAAUUGGUAGAGAGGAUGUUGACAUGAUGCUAUAUGCCAAGAGCUUUGAAAAGGAGAGAUAUUCUUCAUUCCUAAUUCAAGAGAGACACAUGUGAUUCCAGCCUGUUUGGGACUGUCUCUUGGGAGAAGAAAGACUCUCUUACAGAGCUUGGCACUUAGGAAGUGCUUAAAUGAAAGUGAAGAAGCUGAGAUAGGGGUAUGUACUGAAUCAUCUCUUCUACAACAUGAAGAAUGUUCGACCCAGAAAGCUGUGCCAUGGCUCCUUCUUGCUGUAACUCUGUAUAAACAUCCUCAGUUGUAUUCUUUUAGGGCUUAAACUAUAACCUAUUGCAAAUUCAAAGUUCAGUGCUUUGUGGGAUCUCUUCCGGGUAAUUAAAAAUCACUGGUUUAGUAUGCUUGACAAUUAGCAUAUGAACAUAUGUGAUUAUAAAGUACUUAAACUAUUUCUAGUAUGACUUGAGGAAGGAGUCUCACUCCAUUAAGGAAAAUGUAAACUUAAGGACAGUUUUCAUUUUUAUCUUUGACUCCUCAACAAGCAUAUUUUCUAGUAUGCAGUAGGGAAUUAAUUAAUGCUUGCUGAUUGGCUGAUCACCAACACUUAACACAGAAGUUUGUACGUAAUAAGUGCUUAACAAAUGUUUGUGUAAUUAAAUUCCUUAAGUUUUCCAAGUUGGGAAGUACCCCACUGAGAAAGUAAAAGACCCUUUCAAAAUGCACAUGUAACAAUGGCAAAAAUUAUUUUAUAUUUUUAGCACAACUCAAGCAUAGAUAUAUCCACUUUUGCAAUGAAAACUAAAUUUACAUUGAAGUCAACAAAAGCAAAACUAACAUUUUAAAUUCACUCUGACAGUGAAUGCAGGGCAAUGAUUAUUUAAUAUAGUAUGUACAAAUGAGGCUAAAUUUUUGUUGGCACAAAUCUCAAAGCAGUGUGAUCUGCCAUACUCCUGAAAGUCAGUAUAGGCUGGUGGCACAUAUGAGUUAUGUCACUACACUUCUUGCUAGACUUGAACAUGAAAUAUAUAAACUUGAAGUUAAACAAUAUUGGUGUGGAAGUUAAAAGUACAAUAAUGUCUUAUUAUACUCCUUAACUCAUUUUGCUGAGUAUAAUAUAAUAGGGCAACUAGGUGGUACAGUGGAUAAACUACUGGAGUUAGAGUCAGAAAG